rnacentral:rRNA from 1 species
GGUUCCUCGGGGCGCAGCAGUGAGGAAUAUUGGUCAAUGGGCGGAAGCCUGAACCAGCCAAGUCGCGUGAGGGAUUAAGGCCCUGCGGGUCGUAAACCUCUUUUGCCGGGGAGCAGAGGUCCGGACGUGUCCGGGCCGGGAGAGUACCCGGAGAAAAAGCAUCGGCUAACUCCGUGCCAGCAGCCGCGGGAAUACGGAGGAUGCGAGCGUUAUCCGGAUUUAUUGGGUUUAAAGGGUGCGUAGGCGGGCAGUUAAGCCGGCGGUCAAAUGUCGGGGCUCAACCCCGGCCUGCUGGCGG